CCUACGGGAGGCAGCAGUAGGGAAUUUUCGGCAAUGGGGGGAACCCUGACCGAGCAACGCCGCGUGAACGAAGAAGUUAUUCGUAAUGUAAGGUUCUUUUAACAGGGAAGAAAGAGAAAUUUGACGGUACCUGAAGAAUAAGCUCCGGUUAACUACGUGCCAGCAGCCGUGGUAAAACGUAGGAAGCGGGCGUUAUCCGGAAUUUUUGGGCGUAAAGGGUGGGUAGAUGGCAUAGUAAGCCUUUUGUAAAAAGGCUGGGCUCAACCCAGUAGGGCAAAAGAUACUGCAAAGCUAGAGUAUGACAGAGGCAAGUGGAACUACAUGUGUAGCGGUAAAAUGCGUAAAUAUAUGUAAGAACACCAGUGGCGAAGGCGGCUUGCUGGGUCGAUACUGACAUUGAGGCACGAAAGCGUGGGGAGCAAACAGGAUUAGAUACCCUAGUAGUC
rnacentral:rRNA from 1 species